UGUUGUGUAGUGUAUGUGCAGUGAAAGAUGAAAAUCGGCAACACUUUCAAAACGCUGCAAUUUGCGGCGCCACAACAAAAAUCAGUGAAAGUGAAAAAUCUACUCAAGUGACAAUUUAACUUUUUGUUGUACCACAAUUUGUUGUACUUGUUGUUGGUUAUCUCUCUUUAUGCUUUAUAGUUUAUGGCCUUUUUUUUCAGCAUUUUGUCACUGUGUAAACACAAAUAUUUGUGCAGUUGCUCAAGUUUUUUGUGUCCCCCAAAUAAGUUUCCAAUUGUCUUUUGACAAUUGUACAAAAAGAAAUUUCCAAUUUAUUUGUUGGCGAUAUUUGAUAGAAGGGGAGAGGGCGGGGGUCUAAGAGAAAUACAUGUAAAGUCAGCUGCGCAAUUAAUGCGUGCAUUCUGAAUUGAUUCGUAACGCAUUUACAGUAUUCAUAUUCAUUCAUAUCAGUUGAGUUCUAUUCGCUUAUUAUUCAUUCUCAAGUUCUUGAAUAACUCGCUGAGCUUAUGUAAAUUUUUAAACAUCUUGAAACUAUGCCAAACAAGGUCAUGACAGAUAGUUAAUUUAACUUAAAGUUUGUUAACUUUUUGUUUUAGUUAGACAUCUUGUUAGUUUUAUAAAUCAACACAGCGAGAUGAGUUUUUGGAGAUUUCUUUAGUUUACGAUUACAGUUGUUUAUGGCAGAUGUUUAAUCGCAGUUUAAAGUACCCUUAAGAUAUUACAAAGGGUUAGAUACCCUGUAAUCAACUUGGAAUUACAUAAAGAAGUGAAAAGUGAAGGUUGAGAUAUUCGUAUUAAGCUUAAAAAGUAUUGUGAAUAUCAUAAUAUUCUUAAAUUGUCAAUAGCAUCCUCCCUUUAAAGGUUUUACCCCAUAACUUUUCUACAGAAGCAUCCAUAUUGUGCUUGAUCUAUUCAUAUAUUUGCCACAAUUUAAUAUCUUACCCCUCAGCACAUUAAAUGCUUUACAAAUAGAAUCAUCUAACGAGUAUUUAAAUUACACUUUUUAUUUCCCGGGAUUGAGAUAAAAAACCACUAAAAGCAAUAAGUCAAUUAGCACUUGCUGUCAGCUUGGUCACCCACUCAGGCCACUCUAACCACUCCCGAUGUUGCAACACUUUGUCUCAAUUGGGUGGCUCUCAUUUAGCUAUCAGUUGAAACCUAACGAGCAUUAACUUCAAUUGCGGCUCAUUUUCGAUACAAUGGAGAAAUGUUAAUUCAAUUUUCAAAUUGUAAACGAGCACUCUCACACAUUAUUCUCUCUUUCCUUUGCUCUCUUCUCCUAUCUCCAUCUCUAUCUUCACUUGGACUGGGGUUGGGGUUAUCUCUGAUCUAUCUGGUUAGCGAGGCGUGCGAUCAACAACAUUCAUCACACAGACGGAGACAGAGACAGAGACAGUGUCAGCUAACGUUGUUUAUUUGCAAACCAAUUGGCAUGCACAACUCGAGCUAUAACUAUAACUAAAGCUACGGCUACAGUUAGAGAUACAGAUACAGAUACAAAUACAGA